UACGUAGGGAGCAAGCGUUGUCCGGAAUCAUUGGGCGUAAAGAGCGCGUAGGCGGCCCGAUAAGUCCGCUGUGAAAGUCAAGGGCUUAACCCUUGAAUGCCGGUGGAAACUGUCGGGCUAGAGUCCGGAAGAGGCGAGUGGAAUUCCGGGUGUAGCGGUGGAAUGCGUAGAGAUCCGGAAGAACACCGGUGGCGAAGGCGGCCUGCUGGGCAGUGGGGGAGACCCCUUCAAGCUGACACUGAGGCGCGACAGCGUGGGGAGCAACAGG
rnacentral:rRNA from 1 species